rnacentral:rRNA from 1 species
AGUGAACGCUGGCGGUAGGCCUAACACAUGCAAGUCGAACGGCCGCACCGUAAGCGCUUUCUCUUACCGUUGGCGACUGGCGGCCGUGUUACGAAUACAUCGUCUUCUUCUUUUUCGUGGGGGAUUUCGUAGGUCCACUUCCGCUACUACCUCAUACUUCCUACGGCUGAAUGCAUUUGUUCUUCGCACCUUUCGCGUUUGUUUUAGCUGAUGUCGGAUUAGCUAGUUGGCGUGGUAAAGGCCCACCAAGGCGACGAUCCGUAGCUGAUCUGAGAGGAUGAUCAGCCACACUGGAACUGAGACACGGUCCAGACUCCUACGGGAGGCAGCAGUAGGGAAUAUUGGACAAUGGGCGAAAGCCUGAUGGAGCAACGCCGCGUGAGUGAAGAAGGUCUUCGGGUUGUAAAACUCUGUUAUUGGGAAAGAAAAAAAGUAUAAGAAAAAAUGGAUGUGUUGACGGUACCUAAAGAAAAAGCAACGGCUAACUACGUG